UGGGGAAUUUUGGACAAUGGGGGAAACCCUGAUCCAGCCAUCCCGCGUGUGCGAUGAAGGCCUUCGGGUUGUAAAGCACUUUUGGCAGGAAAGAAACGUCGCGGGUUAAUACCCCGCGAAACUGACGGUACCUGCAGAAUAAGCACCGGCUAACUACGUGCCAGCAGCCGCGGUAAUACGUAGGGUGCAAGCGUUAAUCGGAAUUACUGGGCGUAAAGCGUGCGCAGGCGGUUCGGAAAGAAAGAUGUGAAAUCCCAGAGCUUAACUUUGGAACUGCAUUUUUAACUACCGGGCUAGAGUGUGUCAGAGGGAGGUGGAAUUCCGCGUGUAGCAGUGAAAUGCGUAGAUAUGCGGAGGAACACCGAUGGCGAAGGCAGCCUCCUGGGAUAACACUGACGCUCAUGCACGAAAGCGUGGGGAGCAAACAGGAUUAGAUACCCUGGUAGUCCACGCCCUAAACGGUGUCAACUAGCUGUUGGGGCCUUCGGGCCUUGGUAGCGCAGCUAACGCGUGAAGUUGACCGCCUGGGGAGUACGGUCGCAAGAUUAAAACUCAAAGGAAUUGACGGGGUCAUAGCUGUUUCCU
rnacentral:rRNA from 1 species